ACAAACUUGGUCAUUUAGAGGAAGUAAAAGUCGUAACAAGGUUUCCGUAGGUGAACCUGCGGAAGGAUCAUUAGAGAAGUUUGAAGCGUCCGUCCGGCUGUAGCUGGCCCUCCAUCUGGAGGUGCAUGUGCACGCCGGCGUUCGUUCUCUUCCUUACCCACCCCUCUUGUGAACCAAUGCGUGCGGCCGGUAGGGGGGCCCUUUCGGGCUUUCCGAAGGUCGCGCGUCCAUCCACAUACCCCUUUGAAAGUAUCAGAAUGUGUCAUGCGUUAACUCGCAAAUGUACAACUUUCAGCAACGGAUCUCUUGGCUCUCGCAUCGAUGAAGAACGCAGC
rnacentral:misc_RNA from 1 species